GCGAAAAAAGUGUUUUGCACCUGAACAGAGGAUUACUCUACAGGCCUUCUGCUCAGACUGUUUAUGAGUGUGUGAGAGACAGAGACAUGUUCAAGGCUUAAAGUGAGAACUAUCCUGCCUCCCCAACCAAGCAAGGUAAAAUCUAAGGUAUGCCCAGCAGAUUCACUAACAUGGAUGAAACUUUUGACUUGGCUGAAUAACCUUGAACACAUCCAGACAAUACCAGCUGCUUCUUCUGGGAGGAGAAAGGUGAAAGACACUUCAUGCACUCACACACCAGUCACAACACACAA